UCAAGAUGAGAUUUCCCAACUUCGGUUAUAAGAUCCCUUAAAGAUGAUGAGGUUAAUAGGUUCGAGGUGGAAGCAUGGUGACAUGUGUAGCUGACGAAUACUAAUCGAUCGAAGACUUAAUCAA
rnacentral:rRNA from 1 species